AAUACAUCUGAAUAUAUACAUAAAUUAUAUUAAUUAAAAAAACAUAUGAAUACAUUCAUGGCAUAUAGUGAGACAUUGAAUACAAUGAAAUACAUAUAAUACAGCGGGAUAAAUUGAAAUAUAAUAAAAGAAAAAGACAGUGAAUAUAAUAAAAAUACAUGAAAUACAACGAGAUACAUUUAAUUACAAUGAAAAAAAUACAAUCAAUACAAUGAAGUACAUGAAAAUAUAUUGUAAUAUAUUAACAGAAAAUCAAGUUUCACAGCCCCAAACUCCGUCAUCUUUUUUCAAGAACAAACCCUACUGUUUCCAGUGAAACCAUCGUUCGCGAAAGUCGGUAGUGAAAACAACGUCAAAGCCUUCAAUGCCAUAUCUCAGAAGAUGUAGAAAUCAUAGAAACUUAUAUCCUUCAAUGACGAAUCGAUUGAUGAAGACGAAUCAACUUAUAUACUUCAAUGACGAAUUAGCAGAAAAACAAUGUCAAACCCUCCAAGCCUUCAAUUACGAAUUGAGGAAGGAAGGGGAACAUCAAAAGCUGUCUUGUUAGCCAUAGCAGAAGUGGAUGGAAAGGAUGGACUCCCUAUAGAUUCAGAAUGGGCUUUUGAAAUAAGGUUCAAUUGAUUAGGACACAAUAUAUAAGAAGCUGCAAUAACACAAAAAUAAUAAUAAUUUGUGCGGUGAAAGCAAAGAGCUAUAGGGAGUUUCAAUGGGUAGUUUUGCUCCUCUUUGUCAUUCUCCGCCGUCGAUGAUCACUCCAAUGAAAAUUUUUCGAGACAAUGAAUAUGAACCAAUGGACGAUUGUGAUUGUAUUAUGGAGAAAGACUAACAUUUUGAGAGAAAGGG
rnacentral:lncRNA from 1 species